GACGAACGCUGGCGGCGUGCUUAACACAUGCAAGUCGAACGGAUCAUCUUACUUUCGGGUUUGGUGGUUAGUGGCGAACGGGUGAGUAACACGUGAGCAACCUACCCUUCACUGGGGGAUAACGGGAAGAAAUUCUUGCUAAUACCGCAUGUUCAUUUUCUGCCGCAUGGUGGUUGAUGGAAAGUUUUUUCGGUGAGGGAUGGGCUCGCGGCCUAUCAGUUUGUUGGUGGGGUAAUGGCCUACCAAGGCGAUGACGGGUAGCCGGCCUGAGAGGGCGACCGGCCACACUGGGACUGAGAUACGGCCCAGACUCCUACGGGAGGCAGCAGUGGGGAAUAUUGCACAAUGGACGAAAGUCUGAUGCAGCAACGCCGCGUGCGGGAUGACGGCCUUCGGGUUGUAAACCGCUUUCACCAGGGGCGAAUUUGACGGUACCUGGAGAAGAAGCACCGGCUAACUACGUG
rnacentral:rRNA from 1 species